rnacentral:tRNA from 1 species
UUGGAGGCUAGCUCAGCUGUUAGAAUGUCUGCCUCGAAAGUACAAAGCCCUGGGUUCAAGCCCCAGCACAAAG